rnacentral:rRNA from 1 species
UGAGGAAUAUUGGUCAAUGGGGGCAACCCUGAACCAGCCAAGUCGCGUGAAGGAUGAAGGUCUUAUGGAUCGUAAACUUCUUUUAUACAGGAAUAAAUUGGGGGACGUGUCCCCUUUUGCAUGUACUGUAUGAAUAAGGAUCGGCUAACUCCGUGCCAGCAGCCGCGGUAAUACGGAGGAUCCGAGCGUUAUCCGGAUUGAUUGGGUUUAAAGGGUGCGCAGGCGGGAUGUUAAGUCGGCGGUGAAAUUUUGCAGCUCAACUGUAAAAGUGCCUUCGAUACUGGUCUCCCUUAGUGUUGAUGAAGGAGGCUGAAUUUGAGGUGUAGCGGUGAAAUGCUUAGCUAUCACAAGGAACUCCGAUUGCGCAGGCAGCUUACUAAGCCACAACUGACG